rnacentral:pre_miRNA from 2 species
ACCCAGGUCUGCUGACUCCUAGUCCAGUGCUUGUGAUGGCUGGUGGGCCCUGAACUAGGGGUCUGGAGGCCUGGGUUU